rnacentral:rRNA from 1 species
UACGGAGGGUGCAAGCGUUAUCCGGAUUCACUGGGUUUAAAGGGUGCGUAGGUGGGCUGGUAAGUCAGUGGUGAAAUCUCCAGGCUUAACUUGGAAACUGCCAUUGAUACUAUCAGUCUUGAAUACCGUGGAGGUCAGCGGAAUAUGUCAUGUAGCGGUGAAAUGCUUAGAUAUGACAUAGAAAGCCCAUUGCGAUGGCGGCUGGCUACACGAGUAGUGACACUGAUGCACGGAAGGGUGGGGAUCAAACAGG